AGGCCAAUAGCUCAAUUGGUAGAGCACCGGUCUCCAAAAUCGGGGGUUGGGGGUUCGAUUCCCUCUUGGCCUG
rnacentral:tRNA from 1 species